GAAAUAGCUGCCAAAUUUGCGAAGAGGACUACCAUCAGGCAUGAACCGAAGCAAUUCAGAAAUAGGUGGGAUCAAUGCAAGAAAUUAUAUGAAUUUUACGUUUUCGCGAUGAAACAAUCAGGAUUAGGUAGGAAAAAUAAUGGAGCCAUUUCAGCGAGUAAAGCCUGGUGGGAUAAAUACUGCAAGUAUCCAGAAUGCCGUAAAUUUAGCAAGUACCUACCUCACUAUCUUGAGCUGCUGUAUGAGAUGUACCACAAAAAUGUAGUUGAUGGAUCAACUACAACCAUACCAGGAGAUGUGGA